rnacentral:rRNA from 1 species
UAGAGGAGCAGAGCGUUUUCGUCUCUGUCUUCUCUCUAGCUAAGGCUGAUUUUGGAGAGCGGCGGCUGCUGGUUCGAGCCUCUGGAUAACUGGAUCAAGGACUACAGCCUGCGGCUACUAAUGGCAACGAAGCAACCCUCAGACAGUACCUUGUGUUGACUACACCUAGACUUCCUACGCAAACCCUUUAAACCAGCUCAAUGACUCUGGUUCCACCAAGAACUGUUCAAGAGACCGGCCAGUGCACCGAAACCUAAACACUGAAAACUACUGUUCUUCCGGUACCUUCUUCGACAACUCCGAUACUUACCUUAACUAAACCUACCUUCCUUAUAAUGACAACUUUCUCGUGUUGGAGUUCCAAGUCCGUCCCUGGCACUACCUCUAGCUCUGAUAGCACCACCACCACUGGCGAUACCACCACCGGCACUAAAACCACCGCCAGCACCACCACCAGCACCACCGCCGCCACUAACGAUGUUUACACCGUUCGGACCAGUAAAACGUUCCCUCACGGGAAGACCACUACCACCCCUGUCCAUACCAUCGUCCCUACUGUCCAUAUCAUCGUCCCUACUGUCCAUAUCAUCAUCCCUACUGUCCAUACCACCGUCCCUACCACCUUCCCUACUGUUCAUACCACCAUCGUUGCCGUCGUCAGCGAUACCCGGACUGGCACCACCACUAGCGAUAAGACCUUCAGCACUACCUCCUUCGGCGUCGUCACCACCGCCACUAGCUAUGUCGGCACUGUCCAGACCUGGCAUACUAGCAGCGUCGGCUCUACUUAUGACUAGAACUACCACCUCUAAGACAGAGUCCAUACUUUCCAUAACCUAUUAUGAUCACCAUACAAACGAAAUAGUGUAUUCCGUCGUUUACCAAACGACAACAUGAGAAAUACUCUUCAAAUUACGAAAACAAUAGGUACGACUGAUCACGAACCAAAUGGUUACAAGGAUGGACCUAAACCGAACAUUGGCCAAGGAACCCUCGAAGUCACCUAACGCAAUAAAACAGACUCAUUAUAAACCCUAGGUACAAAGACGCAACGAGACUACCAUUUUCAGGACAGUACUAUGACCGGAAACCACGACAAGAACAUAACGUAGCGACACCAAUAACCUUAACACCAGAACUACAGUUCCUACAACUUCUUGUUGUCGAGAAAUAAAUCAGAGCAACACCAGAACUCCUUUCUUAGUUGCAAGACACGAACCCCGUAAACCGGAAACACAAGGAUAACCAGACGAACCGAAUCACGAUUUUAAAACGACAAGUUGGUACCCAGGCUUACGAACGAGAUCAUGACAAGAUACCGUGAAGGGAGUCAAUCUGGUUGUAUUCUAGAACGACCGUACCCAGUGAAACGAGUAGUUGUGAAGAAACCCGAGGAUCAUAUUGUGUGACGAAGGAACUCUUGGACCUUUCUCAACGAACGAAGUGACCCUACCCGAGAGAGAAUGGAAGUAAGGACGACGUUGGGUUCAGGCUCCCGGGAAUUCUUUCAGGGUACACUUCCAACGAAAUAAAGACACAAAGAGUUUCCCCCUUGAUAAAAGAAAGAGUCGCUUCCAGCGGAUGUGAACGAAGACCAAUUGAAUUCCACAUCUACUUUUAUCAAUAAACAUCCCAAGCCACAGAAAGAAAAACUGUCAUCACUCGAGGUUAACAAAAUUCUUUCCGUCGGACUAAGUAUAACACGGUUAUUAAAACCGUCGGGCUCGAGGUUGCUAAAACAACAACGACACAAACGGUAAACAUUAAAACAUGUUACGAAUUAAGUGGUCGACAACAGUUUACCUAUACGAACCAAGGUUUAAUAACCUUCAAACUCGAAACAACAUCCAGUUUGAAGAUAUAAAACAGGUACAAAUUGAAACUUUUCUAACCCGAAGCCGUUUAGAUAUUGAAAUUUAUAAAACUUUGCUUCCCUCAUUUAAUCGC